rnacentral:rRNA from 1 species
GAGUGAUGAAGGCCGUAGGGUUGUAAAGCUCUUACACCGGUGAAGAUAAUGACGGUAACCGGAGAAGAAGCCGGGGCUAACUUCGUGCCAGCAGCCGCCGUAAUACGAAGGGGGCUAGCGUUGUUCGGAUUUACUGGGCGUAAAGCGCACGUAGGCGGAUUGGUCAGUUAG